AUUGAACGCUGGCGGCAGGCUUAACACAUGCAAGUCGAGCGGGGUGAUGGUGCUUGCACUAUCACUUAGCGGCGGACGGGUGAGUAAUGCUUAGGAAUCUGCCUAUUAGUGGGGGACAACAUCUCGAAAGGGAUGCUAAUACCGCAUACGUCCUACGGGAGAAAGCAGGGGAUCACUUGUGACCUUGCGCUAAUAGAUGAGCCUAAGUCGGAUUAGCUAGUUGGUGGGGUAAAGGCCUACCAAGGCGACGAUCUGUAGCGGGUCUGAGAGGAUGAUCCGACACACUGGGACUGAGACACGGCCCAGAGUCCGACGGGAGGCAGCAGUGGGGAAUAUUGGACAAUGGGGGGAACCCUGAUCCAGCCAUGCCGCGUGUGUGAAGAAGGCCUUAUGGUUGUAAAGCACUUUAAGCGAGGAGGAGGCUCUUUUGGUUAAUACCCAGAAUGAGUGGACGUUACUCGCAGAAUAAGCACCUGCUAACUCUGUGCCAGCCGCCGCAGUAA
rnacentral:rRNA from 1 species